GACGAACGCUGGCGGCGUGCCUAAUACAUGCAAGUCGAACGCAGUGGGGACGGGUGAGUAACACGUUGGUAACCUCCCAUCAGAGGGGAUAACACUUGGAAACAGGUGCUAAACCGAUACUGAUGGAUGGACCCGCGGGGCAUUAGCUAGUUGGUGAGGUAACGGCUCACCAAGGCCACGAUGCAUAGGCGACCUGAGAGGGGGAAGGGCGAAAGUGGGACGGAGACACGGCCCAGAAUCCUACGGGAGGCAGCAGUAGGGAAGCGGCGGAAAGGGACGAAAGGCUGACCGAGCAACGACGCGUGAGUGAAGAAGGUAUUCGGAGCGUAAAACUCUGUUGUUAGAGAAGCGGUAUCUAACCAGAAAGCCACGGCUAACUACGUGCCAGCAGCCGCGGUAAUUC
rnacentral:rRNA from 1 species